rnacentral:lncRNA from 1 species
UGGGAUCCAGCAUUCACUGCCUGAUGUUUGGUCUUAAACACCAGCUUCCUGUAUUAAAUUUUGGGUGGGAGUUGUUUCAGGUGGAAGGUCAUUCUGGUCCUGUUAAUACAACUUGGCUUUAUUGUUUUAUUUUAAAAAAUCAAAAUAAAAGCAGCACUUUCUUUCUUAAAAGUGCGUGCACCCAGCACAUAGUACGUCCACAUUUCUUUUCUGAGCAUCUCUUUUCCUUCCCAUAGGGGGUCUUUCUUCUGACUCACAUUCUAGUUCAUGGAUUCUCUUCAUCUGGGCCUCAACUGUUGUUAAAACCAUUCAGUGGUUUCUGAAUUUUGGGUUUUGGGCUUUUCAUUUCUAUAAUUUCUAUGAUGAUUCUUUUCACAUUCUCCUUGGUCAAAUUUACAGCUUCCAGUCAAUGCAAACAGUCGACAAGCCUUUGACCCCCUUGAGCCUACCCAUAGUCAGCAUCCUUCUUUCAUGUUUUCUGGCUGGUGAUCCAGGCAUUGGGAUUUCUUGUGUCUGUUUUCCUGCUGGUUCUCUGUCAUGGUGCACAUCUCGUGCUUCUUUCUGGCCAUCUUUGCUUGUGUGCUGGAAAAGAGGUCAGGUUUCACUUGUAGAAACAAGUGAAACAUCCUUAGCCUCAUGGACAAUGUUCUCAUUGCCCUAAGAGGAGCUCACUGGGCUUUUUUCCAGGUGCAUGGGCACACCAGCCACUUGGAGUUACCUUUGGUUGCCUUCAGGGCUUGAGAACUUGAGAUUUUCCAGGUUCAAGGUUUGAGUACCCAGUUGAUUCAGAGUUGGGCUGUGGCCAUUAAAGGACUGAUUUACCUAGGAUUCACCCUUAUUUAUGGGGAGCAUCCCUUUUUAUUUCAGCCGGAAGCAGGUGUCGUUGACCACAGUUCACCCCUUGCUGGGUCCUGACUCCUAUUUUGUUUCAGUAGCCUCAAAAGGACAGACCCCUUUGCCGCCGUUUCUGCAAGGGCAGCACCCACUCAGAUGGGGCGGGUCAUUGUCUCCUUGCUCCCCAGAUCUCACUGUUCUGGUGAGUCCUUACCGCAUUAUAAGUGUCUCCUGCUUCUGGAGAUGGCUUUAUGUUUUGUCAUUGUUUUGGUCUGGAUAUGAAGUGACCCCAAGGAAGGCUUGUUCUCCUGCUGGUGGCACUCUUCUGAAGUGGUAGGAACUUUAGGGGACAUGUGACCUUGAAGGCACUAGCUUGCCCUUGGCCCUUUCCUUUCUCUUUCUUUGCUUCCUAGCUAUCAUGAUGUGAGCAACUCUGCUCCACCAUGUGUCCCCUGCCAUGAUGCUUCCUUGACAAAGAUUCGAAGCCACAGGACCAAGUGACCGUAGAUUGAAAUCUCUGAAACCAUGAUCCAAAAGGAAUCUUUCCUUUUUAAAGUUGAUUUUCUCAGGUAGUCUGUCACAGUGAUGGAAAGUGGAUUAACACACCACUGCAAUUAGAUAUCGAAGCUCCAUAUCUAUCAGGAUUUAAUUCUGGGUUUCAUUCCUAUAAUAAACUGAAUAUUUGUGUUUUCCC